CCCCUCUCAGGGUCGCACCUGGAGAGUUUCCAGGACUCUACCAGUCUCAGCUAUGGGAGGGAAAGCCAAGCGGAGGCAUACCCAUUCCAUUCCUAGCUUGGGCAGUGACUAGCUGGUGGAAGGCAUUCUGCUACAAGU
rnacentral:snoRNA from 2 species